UGCUGGUUGAGAGCAGACGUGACAC
rnacentral:misc_RNA from 1 species